rnacentral:tRNA from 1 species
GGAGGAGUACCCAAGUCUGGCUGAAGGGGUCGGUCUUGAAAACCGAGAGGCGUCGAAAGGCGCGCGGGGGUUCGAAUCCCUCCUCCUCCGCCAUUA